CCUACGGGAGGCUGCAGUGGGGAAUAUUGGACAAUGGGCGAAAGCCUGAUCCAGCCAUGCCGCGUGUGUGAAGAAGGCCUUCGGGUUGUAAAGCACUUUCAGUGGGGAAGAAAGCCUUGGGGCUAAUACCCUCGAGGAAGGACAUCACCCACAGAAGAAGCACCGGCUAACUCCGUGCCAGCAGCCGCGGUAAUACGGAGGGUGCGAGCGUUAAUCGGAAUUACUGGGCGUAAAGCGCGCGUAGGCGGUCUGAUAAGCCGGUUGUGAAAGCCCCGGGCUCAACCUGGGAACGGCAGCCGGAACUGUCAGGCUAGAGUGCAGGAGAGGAAGGUAGAAUUCCCGGUGUAGCGGUGAAAUGCGUAGAGAUCGGGAGGAAUACCAGUGGCGAAGGCGGCCUUCUGGACUGACACUGACGCUGAGGUGCGAAAGCGUGGGUAGCAAACAGGAUUAGAUACCCUAGUAGUC
rnacentral:rRNA from 1 species